rnacentral:lncRNA from 1 species
GCACAGAGAAUGCUACUGAAGGCUUUAAAGUUCCCCAGCCUUGCCAAGCGCUUGUCCAAGGAGUCAUAAACAAGAAGGCCAAGGAGGCUGGCUGUCACAAGAGGACAGAGCUCACAGCCCCCUGCGACUGGCUCUGGCCAAAGGGGCUCGCUCCCUAGUCACAGGCUCCAGUUGUGGUGAGCUGAGACUCGUCCCUAGCCCCUCUGCAGCUUCCACUGGCUUGUUUUCCAGAAACGAGAUACGCAUUUGCAAAGCCAAACAGACUCUGGCAAGGACAACUCAAAAUUAGCUCCGCGUUUGUGAGCCUGGAACCCGGUCCAGCUGAGGGCACGGGAAGGCAGCCCAACCCCGGACGUUUUUCCGGCUGCUGCCGAGGCCCCUUUGCAGGCUUUGCCCCGGCUGCAUGCACAGUGCAGCCGCCCGUGACCCGGGAGCCCCAAGCCGUGGAGCACGCGCAGAGAGGGGUUGCCUACCCUACCGGAUCGGCGUGGCGGCUCAUGCUGCGGCGUCCGGGUGCCUCGCUCCAGCCAGGGCGCUGCGGACACAGCCUGGGCUGCGGGCCGGGGACCUGGGAGCUAAGCCCGGCACUGCCGGCUCCUGACUGCGCUUGUUUGCGCUGGACCGUUUGUUUUUGGGAUUUCUCCAAAGCAGAUGGAGUCAGGGGGCCCCCGCUAUCCCCGGGGGACAGUGAUUCCAUUGGAAGCUGGCCUUUGACAGGACACACACAUGACCUUUGACUAAAAUGGCUUUAGGGAAGGAAAAGUGUCCGGACGUUGAAGACCCAGCGUCCAAGCACCGCCAUUCACACUUCCACCCCCAACCGCGCUGGGUUAAUUUUUCAUCUUUCAAGCAGAGCCUGUGAAGUUUGGUGUGCAUUUCCCCUUCUUUCUCUAGGAUUCGUUCCUGUUUCCUGAAGAGCCUGCGGCAGGACUUUCCUGUUGUGAUGUCGGGGGAUCUCUAGACUAGCAUUUGCAGGUCCUUCAAGAUGAUAAGGUCCGGAGAGAGAGAUCGACGACAGAGGGCUUGCAUCACACAUGGGAACAUGGGAAGGCUCAAUUGCAAGUAGUUCCAAGUAACGGAAGAAAUAAAAGGUCCAAUUCCUCAUUUAGCCAGGCAUGGAAGAUUGCCACUAGUUUGAGGCCAGUCUGGGUUACAGAGUGAGACCUUGUCUCAAAAACAAACAAGAAACAUGAACCCAGACGGGCAGGAACUAUGGACUUGUGGAAGGAGCCCUGGUCAAGCAUUCAGCAGCUCCACACGGUUCAGUGCCAUCAGAAGUGCCAUAAAGAUCUGCAAAGACGAGAUGCCCCCAUGUUCUCGUUUUCAUCGGCUUGGAGAAGGACUCAAGUGAUAGUGACCCUCAGCUUUGAAGGACUUGAAGGAGUUAGGCAGGAAGAGAAAAGGAGGAAAGACAUGCCACCCCCACCCCCCAGACAGCCCUGAACACAAAAGCUGCCCUGCUGCACUCAGAGAACUGAAAACAGUUGAACCCAGCAGGAGCGCUUGGUGUGGGAGCCUGUGUCCACAGAAGAGAGUGUGGGUUUGGACUCUGACCCGCCUCGUGAGUCACGGUAGGAAACUUGGACUUCAUCCCGCAAGGCCAAUGAGUUGACAGAACUAGCCCCGGGUUAUCAGCCCACAAGAAAAGGAUGCAGGAGUCAAAUGUUGUUAUACAACCAGAAUAAUAUUUAUAUCAGUGUGAGGCUUAAGCUUGACUGGCUACAUGCAGUUGCUUUCUUCUUCUUCUUCUUCUUCUUCUUCUUCUUCUUCUUCUUCUUCUUCUUCUUCUUCUUCUUCUUCUUCUUCUUCUUCCUCUUUUUUUUUCUAGUCAGAAAAAUGUAAGCAAUGUGUUUAACUUCAGCAAGCCUCAAGUGUGUCCCCCGCCCCCCCCCCCCCCCCCACCAAUAAGAAGGGAUCAUGGAGUAUGCCAUGAGGGUAAAAUGAAAUGGUGUAAGUAAAACCCUUAGCCUUUCUUCAGGGAGAGUCUACAAAAUGGCAAGUGGCUACUGUUGCAUUGUAAAGCUUUCUGGUUUGCAUAGUGCAUGACUACAGAGGAACUAGGAAAUCUCCCCACCCUUUCUCCCCCGUCUUCUAGCUCUGGGCUCAUUGGAUAUUUGUGGCCUCUCUCCCUUCUCUCCUUAUCAUUGAGCCCCCUCUUGACUUCCUUGUCAGUUUGUCCCUUUCCUCAAGCUACCCACCCACCCCAGGCCCCUGUGAGCCACCCACCUGGGAUGCUAACUGCUAGACAUCUAUACUAUCCCACAGCCAGGGCUGUUGCCACUGCCAUGGUUACAUGGUAUCCAACCUUGUCUGGGUGUGCAAACCUACUGCAGGCCUUGCAAGUUGGAGCCAUUUGCAUCUAGCCAUCUUUCGUGAAAAAGCCUCCACUUCUCCAGCAAAGUCCAGAGCUAUUUGAAGGAGAUGUUCUUCUUGUACCUGCUCUGUUCUCACCUUCUCUGUGGCUCAGAGGUGCCUCUCUUGUAUUUGUGAACUCAUUGCUCAUUUUCUCAGAAACAUUCGGCAACCCCUCCCUUUCAAUUUCUCCUCUAUUGAUUACAUUGAUAACACGACCAUUAAAUGCAACUCAGUAUUCUUGAUGCUGAACAUACAGGAAUCAAUACACUAUCACUCCACAGAAAGAAGCACAUUCAAGCACUGUACAUGUACUGGACUCUUUUUUCAUAAUUUGUUGUCCUUUUCAUAUCAUUUGCCCCAUGUAGGCCUGGAUUAUUUUUAAAAAGAAAGAAACAUACUAGUAUUUUAUAUGCAAAGUUAUAAAUAAAAUUAAAUUGACUAUGUUGUAAUGAAAUAAAAAUCUAAAUAUAAUACAAAGUAAAAAUUUGAAUCUAGCAAUAUAAUAAAUAAUGUAAAGACAUUGAGUAGAAAAAAGUGGGGAAAACUAAUUGAAACCAAAUACUUACUCAACCUAUGCUCACUGCAGACAGAAAGCACACAGACAAAUCACAUACUCUACUAAAUAAAGUGUCUUUCUCAGUGACGUAGGUGUAGGAAUUCUGACUCGAGUUUUUCUAUAAUAUUGAGCAAACAAGUCAAUAUAUUUUUUGUUGUCACUUUUUUUAUUUUCAAGUCAGAUUUCAUUAAUAUAGUCUUAUUAUAAAAUUAGAUAUGUGUUUCUAAACCUGACAGUUCAUCUUCAGAAUUUUUUUGUCUUUUGUUUGUUUUCUUUUCCAAAAAAAUUGGAUAUUUUCUUUAUUUACAUUUCAAAUGUUUUCCCCUUUCCAGGGCUCUUCUUCAGAAACUCCCUAUCUCGUGCUCCCCUAGCCACCUACUCCUGUCUUCCUGCCCUGGCAUUCCGCUAUACUGGGGCAUCAAAAACCCUCAGGCUCAAGGGCCACUUCUCCCACUGAUGUCCAACAAGGCCAUCCUCUGCCACAUAUGUGGCCAGAGCCAUGGGUCCCUCCAUGUACUCUUUGGUUGGUGGUCCAGUCCCCAGGAGUUCCAGAAGGCCUAGCCUGUUGACACUGUUGCUCCCUGCAUGGGGCUGCAAAGACCCUUCAGUGCCUUCUCCAACUCCUCCUCGGGGACUUCGGGCUCAGUCCAAUGGUGGCUUCGAGCAUCCACCUCUGUAUUUGUCAGGCUCUGGCAGAGCCUCUCAGGAGACAGGCUUCCAUCAGCAAGCACUUCCCAGCAUCCACAUAGCAUUCAGGCUUGGCAACUGUAUAUGGGAUGGAUUCCCAGGUGGGGCAGUCUCUGGAUGGCCUUUCUGUCAGUCUCUGCUACACAUUUUGCCUCCAUAUUUCCUCCUGUGAGUAUUUUGUUCCCCUUCUAAGAAGCACUGAAGCAUCUACACUUUGGUCUUUCUUCUUCUUGGGCUUCAUAUGGUCUGUGAAUUGUAUCUUGGGUAUUCUGAACUUUUGGGCUAAUAUCCACUUAUCAAUGAAUGCAUACCAUGAGUGUUCUUUUGUGACUGAGUUACCUCUCUCAGGAUGAUAUUUUCAAGUUCCAUCCAUUUGCUAACGAAUUUCAUGAAGUCAUUGUUUUUAAUAGCUGAGUAGUAUUCCAUUGUGUAAAUGUACCACAUUUUCUGUAUCCAUUCCUCUGUUGAGGGACAUCUGGGUCCUUUCCAGCUUCUGGCUAUUAUAAAUAAGUGAACAUAGUAGAGCAUGUGUUCUUAUACAUGUUGAAACAUCUUCUGGAUUAUAUACCCAGAAGUGGUAUAGCUGGGUCCUCAGGUAGUACUAUGUCCAAUUUUUUUAAUUAAUUGUUUUUAUUAGAUGUUUUCUUCAUUUACAUUUCAAAUGCUAUCCCCUUUCCUAGUUUCCUCUCUAGAAGUCCCCUAUACCCUCCCCCCUCCACCUGCUCCCCAACCCACCCACUCCCACUUCCUGGCCCUGACAUUCCCCUAUACUGGGGCAUAGAAUCUUCGCAAAACCAAGGGACUCUCCUCCCAUUGAUGACCAACUAGGCCAUCUUCCGCUACAUAUGCAGCUAGUGACACGAGCUCUGGGGGUAUUGGUUAGUUCAUAUUGUUGUUCCUCCUACAGGGCUGCAGACCCCUUCAGCUCCUUGGGUACUUUCUCUAGCUCCUUCAUUGGGGACCCUGUGUUCCAUCCAAUAGAUGACUGUGAGCAUCCACCUCUGUAUUUGCCAGGCACUGGCAUAGCCUCACAGAAGACAGCUAUAUCAGGGUCCUGUCAGCAAAAUCUUGUUGAUACAUGCAAUAAUGUCUGGGUUUGGUGGUUGUUUAUGGGAUGGAUUCCGGGGGUGGGGGGGGGGCAGUCUCUGGAUGGUCCUUCCUUCGGUCUCACCUUCAAACCUUGCCUCUCUAAAUCCUUCCAUGGGUAUUUUGUUCCCCUUUCUAAGAAGGAUUGAAGUAUCCACACUUUGGUCUUCCUUCUUCUUGAGUUUCAUGAGUUUUGCAAAUUCUAUCUUGGGUAUUCUAAGUUUCUGGGCAAAUACUCACUUAUCAGUGAGUACAUAUCAUGUGAGUUCUUUUGUGAUUGGGUUACCUCACUUAGGAUGAUAUCCUCUAGAUCCAUCCAUUUGUCUGAGAAUUUCAUAAAUUCAUUUGUUUUUUUUUUUUUUUUGGCUUUUGGUUUUUGGUUUGUUUUUUUGGUUUGUUUUGUUUUUUUGGGUUUUGUGUUGUUGGGUUUUUUGUGUGUUUUUGUUGUUGUUGUUGUUGUUUUGUUUGUUUUGUUUUUUGAGUUUUUUGAGACUGGGUUUCUCUCUGUAGCCCUGGCUGUCCUGGAACUCACUCUGUAGAUCAGGCUGGCCUCAAACUCAGAAAUCCACCUGCCUCUGCCUCCCAAGUGCUGGGAUUAAAGGCAUGCACCACCACUACCGGGCCCAAUUCAUUGUUUUUAAUAGCUGAAUAGUACUCCAUUGUGUAAAUGUACCACAUUUUCUGUAUCCAUUCUUCUGGUGAGGAACAUCUGGGUUCUUUCCAGCUUCUGGCUAUUAUAAAUAAGGCUGCUAUGAACAUAGUGGAUCAUGUGUUCUUAUUACCAGUUGGAACGUCUUUUGGGUAUAUGCCCAGGAGUGGCAUAGCUGUGUCCUCAGGUAGUACUAUGUCCAAUUUUUUAAAAAAGACUUAUUUAUUUAUUUAUUUAUUGUAUAUGAGUACACCAUUGCUCUCUUCAGACACACCAGAAGAAGGCAUCAGAUCACAUUACAGAUGAUUGUGAGCCAGAAUGUGGUUGCUGGGAAUUGAACUCAGGACCUCUGGAAGAGCAGUCAAUGCCCUUAACCGCUAAGCCAUCUGUCCAGCCCUAGACUUUUUAAAACCGUAGUUUUAACAAGGGUUUUCAAUGCUUCAACCCCCUCUUAUAGCCCACCAUCCAAAGGUAGGGGAGAAAGGAUGAUAAACAGGACAGGGAGAAGCAGAUCUGUUUAGAAGUUAUUCUUUGGAGUGAUUCCAAUCUCCGUUUGUCAAGACACCAGUAGUCCACUUCAGUAGUGUCAGGAUAGCAAACAUGAAUCAGUAUCGGUGGCACGAUCCAGCAGAAACCACCAGGCCUCUGCUGAGUCGCCACAAUUCGGUGGGAACAACCAGGACACCAGGAAAAGGUCUCUCAACUUGCCUGUCUCAAGGAAGUGAAGAUCAUCAAAGACUCAAGACCAACAAAGUGUUGCAAGGCUAGAUAUGCAAGCGCCCCAUCACUAUCCAUUGAGUAUCCAUAUACUCUCUCCAAACAUCACGUGUCCUCCCAUCAGGCUUGCCUCAGCAAAACACCAGGUGAGUCUGCAUCACAUGACAUCUCCUGAAACUUCCACUUGAACCCCAUGUCAUUGAGGAGCUUCUUACUUAUCUUCUAUUGUUCCCACUAUCUCGUCCUUGAAACAACAACAAUGCAUGCAUGUAUGAGUGUGAACACAUGCUGCUAGGAACAUGCACACACCUCUCUCACACACACAGGAAGAAAGGGGUCCACAAACACACAACACACACACACACACACACACACACACACACACACACACACACGAAGAGAAUUCCAAGGCCAGUUCUUCCUCAGGCUUCAGAGCUUGUUGUCACCUCCUCAAAGAGACUUUGCCUACACAGCCCAUCUAGGGAGCUUUGUGACUGGAUAUUGGUUCACCUUUAUUGUUGUUUUCAGAUCACCUGUUCCCAUGCCAUGAUGAGAGUCUCUCUGUUCUUGGGCCUUGCUCACUUUCUGUUGUUUCCUCUAAUCUGAACCUAAUGGAAUCUGAGACCCUUGUCCUGUUCAGUACUAUAUCAUAUCCUCAGUUCCCAUGAUUUUCCUUGUAGGUUUUUAGAGUCAGAGUCACUUGUGGCCCGGGCUGACCUCAAACUAAAAAUGUUGCCAAGGAUGUUCUUGAACUUCUUGUUCUCCUACCUCUACCUCCUGGCUGCUGGGAUUACAGGUGUGUGGUGCCAUGCAAGUUUAGAAAGCAUUGUUGAUUAUAUACCCUUAAAGUUGAGAACCAUUUUUGCUCUUUAAAAUUUGUUUCUUAAUGGAAAAUGUAAGUCUAUCUUCCUUUCCAAGAGGAAUCUUCAACAGAUUCCUGGACUCAUCUCUAGAGAAGAGAAAACACACACACACACACACACACACACACACACACACACACACACACACACACAGGACAGAUGGAAGAAAUCCAAAAGAAAAGAACCCAACAUGUUUAAAUUUCAAUGGACCACUGAAGCAUCUCUCCACUGAAGCAUCUCUGGCUGAGAGUACAGCCAAAAGGAAUCAAAAAUUGUACAUUAGAAAAGUACCGUGAGACCAAGCUUACAUGGCUGCCAAUGAGUCAAAAAAGGCUAAGCAGGCAGCUAAGCAUAUACCAAAUGACAGCACCUAAGAAGAUACUGUGAUGCCUGAGUGGGAGGAAAAUGCUUGCUAAAUAGAUAGAUCAGUUUCUAAAAUAACCAUAGGCAUUGGUUAUUCUAAAAAUGGAAAAAAAAACCCAAAUAAACAAAUCCUGAUACCAAAAACACCAAGGACAGUUAUCUAUGGGUUAAAUUCCGGGUGGUUCUAAAAGCUAUGCUUGAAAAUGAUUCACCUCAUCUCUUCAUGACACAGAGCUCAGCCCCAAAGAGAAAUAAGUAAUAUCCCCAGUGUCUACUUAAUUCUCAAUCGUUUUCUUCUUGGUCCUGCCACACAUGAUGGACCUUCCCAGCAUGCAGAUGAAGACCUGUUUUCUCAUUUCUCUAAGUUUUCACCGGCUCUUAUCCCCAUCCCCAACACUCAUAUCUGGCUCAACUACCUCAUGGAUGGUUCCCAAUCUCCCCAAUGCUGCAACCAUUUAAUACAGCUCCCCAUAUUGUAGUGACCCUCAUCCAUAAACCUAUCUCCAUUUUGCUACUUCAUAACUCUAAUUUACUGCUAUGAAUCCAAAUAUAAAUAUCUGUGUUUUCCAAUGGUCUUUGGGAUUUGGGACCCACAAGUUGAGAAUCACUGGUCUAGGGCCUUUCCCCACUCAACUCCCAUGAGUUUGGGCUCAAAACAGCCUCCUCUGCUAGGCUGGGGCCCAGCCCAUUCUCUGCUUGCACACAGCAUACCCCACUGGCUUUUUUCUCCUCCUGAGUCCUGAUGGUUCCUGACUGAGCAAUUCCUCCAUUGUAUCUCAUGGCCAACUGACCGCCCAGCCAGAAAAUUGAAUUAAUAAAUUAAUAAAGCAAUGUUCUAAAUGAUCUUUUUAGAGAGAUGGUCUGCUUUAGUUUUUAGUUUUUAUUUGAUUUUUAAAACUUUAUUGGGGUGUACUCUUGAUAUGCAAUUCACUGAUUUAAACUGUGCAUGUCAAUGACUUGGGAAUGUUUAAAUAGGUGCAC